rnacentral:rRNA from 1 species
UACAGAGGUCUCAACCGUUGUUCGGAUUCAUUGGGCGUAAAGGGUGCGUAGGCGGCGGGGUAAGUCAGGUGUGAAAUCUCGGGGCUCAACCCCGAAACUGCACUUGAUACUGCCUCGCUUGAGUACUGGAGAGGAGACUGGAAUUUACGGUGUAGCAGUGAAAUGCGUAGAUAUCGUAAGGGAGACCAGUGGCGAAGGCGAGUCUCUGGACAGUUACUGACGCUGAGGCACGAAGGCCAGGGGAGCAAACGGG